AUUGAACGCUGGCGGCAGGCCUAACACAUGCAAGUCGGACGGUAGCACAGAGAGCUUGCUCUCGGGUGACGAGUGGCGGACGGGUGAGUAAUGUCUGGGGAUCUGCCCGAUAGAGGGGGAUAACCACUGGAAACGGUGGCUAAUACCGCAUAACGUCGCAAGACCAAAGAGGGGGACCUUCGGGCCUCUCACUAUCGGAUGAACCCAGAUGGGAUUAGCUAGUAGGCGGGGUAACGGCCCACCUAGGCGACGAUCCCUAGCUGGUCUGAGAGGAUGACCAGCCACACUGGAACGGAGACACGGUCCAGACUCCUACGGGAGGCAGCAGUGGGGAAUAGUGCAGAAUGGGCGCAAGCCUGAUGCAGCCAUGCCGCGUGUAGGAAGAAGGCCUUCGGGUUGUAAAGUACUUUCAGCGGGGAGGAGGGCGAUGUGGUUAAUAACCGCAUUGAUUGACGUUACCCGCAGAAGAAGCACCGGCUAACUCCGUGCCAGCCGCCGCAGUAA
rnacentral:rRNA from 1 species